rnacentral:rRNA from 1 species
AGGUCAAGCGAAGAAGAGCGCAGGGUGGAUGCCUUGGCACUAAGAGCCGAUGAAAGACGUGAUAAGCUGCGAUAAGCU